UACGGGAGGCAGCAGUAGGGAAUCUUCCGCAAUGGGCGAAAGCCUGACGGAGCAACGCCGCGUGAGUGAAGAAGGUCUUCGGAUCGUAAAACUCUGUUAUUAGGGAAGAACAAAUGUGUAAGUAACUAUGCACGUCUUGACGGUACCUAAUCAGAAAGCCACGGCUAACUACGUGCCAGCAGCCGCGGUAAUACGUAGGUGGCAAGCGUUAUCCGGAAUUAUUGGGCGUAAAGCGCGCGUAGGCGGUUUUUUAAGUCUGAUGUGAAAGCCCACGGCUCAACCGUGAGGGUCAUUGGAAACUGGAAAACUUGAGUGCAGAAGAGGAAAGUGGAAUUCCAUGUGUAGCGGUGAAAUGCGCAGAGAUAUGGAGGAACACCAGUGGCGAAGGCGACUUUCUGGGUCUGUAACUGACGCUGAUGUGCGAAAGCGUGGGGAUCAAACAGGAUUUAGAUACC
rnacentral:rRNA from 1 species